AUGGCACUCUCGCAAUCUAUCAAGCAUGGAGAAGAAGGAAGAGAUCCGACUGCGGCUCUCGAAAAUACCAAGGAGGCUCUGGCGCUCCUCGAACUGCCACGGAACCUUCCCAUGGUUCUGCCAGGGCAUAGUUGGAGGCCACCGGAAUCAGGAGUCAUCAAGAUCAGUACUGACGGGGCUCUAAAUUUUGUUGACGAAAGAGGCGGUGCAGGCGGUGUAGCACGCUCCUCCUCGGCACUUUUGGGAGCUUGGAGCAAGCCCUACAUGGCUAUCUCAGACCCACUGAUCAUCGAAGCCUUGUCACUCCAAGAAGGAGCUCGUCAGAUGACCGGGCCUGUGGUGGUCGUCCCGACCGUCUGUCCCAUGACGGGGCCUGCGGUCGGGCUCGUCUCGACCGUCUGCUCACCGGCCGUCUCUCGUGAUCGUGAGCCUCCCUCCAUCCACUACGGCACGGCAUGGAUGAUGAUGGAUGGAUGCAUGCACCACCAACGGAGACGACCAACCAACCAACCAAUACCUAGCACCACGACGCGGCGGCCGGCCAUGGACAGUGCAUGCAUGCACAUGCACCGAUGCACCGUGCACGCGAAGGUCCAUGCCAUUGCCAUGCCACUGCGACCACACAAGGGAGCACGUAGCAUGAGGAAAACGAGCCCGCGACCGGCGCGGCGAGAGGUGUGGGCGUACGAAGGCCGGCCGGCCGCCCGGGAAUCGACCGAUCGAUCCCCGGUGGCGGGCCCGCCCGAGCCUGCCUGCGCCAACCCACGCGCUCGCCUCUGCGACCACCCACGACCGCCACGACGACCGGCUGCCGUGGAGCCGGGGUCAUGUCACGUGACCGCCCGCGCGCGCCAACAGUGCCGGCCGCGGGGCCCACCUGUCGGUGCCCGCGCCUGCCGGUCACGCAGGACGGGCGGGGGCCCGCGGGUCAGCCGGGCAGGCAAAGAUUCCACGUCCUCCUUCCCCGCCACGAGGCAGACUCCGGACGGUGUUCGUCACCGCCGUCGUGGUCGGCGUCACGCUCCGUUCGCUCCUCCGGUGCAGGCCCAGUCAAAGCUGCCCGCUGUAAUAAUAAUCCUGGUCGUGGCAUUUCGGGGGCGCCCGUGGUCAAAGCUUUGCUCACUCGGUCCUCCAGGACCAGUAUGCAUGUACGUGCGCAAUCCCUGGCUGGUUGGUUGGUUGCACCCGCCGUGCCGCUCACUCCCUCCCCACUUCCGGUCACUCGUGACCACGCCACGAUCCAUCUCCGUCAGUCAACACCCUCUCCCAGCCAUGAUUAGCAGCAGUGCCUAUCGCCUCCCCCUCCGGCCGCCGGAGCGGGGAGGAAACGAACGGGACUUGCUUGCACACAAGAGAGACCUCGCGCACGCCCCCCACGGCCGUUGCGGUUGCUUUACCGGCACGGCGGCUGGCUCCAGCGUGUCACUCCCUUCCACCUCUCUUCCCAGCGGCGUGGACCAACAGCACGCGCGCCACAGGUCGCCCAGCCAACCGAGACAGAUACACACACGCAGUAACACAGACAGGCAUACAAAUACAGAGCACGAGGCCAAAACGGACACCUCCACCGUCGACCUCAUCUCGGUCUCGCCGGCGGAGAUGGCACGGCACCUAGUGGCUAAGAGAUUGGCGCUUUCUCCCCACGGAGAGGGACGGGCGGGGCAAGCUGGUUGGCCCGUGUUUGUUUUCCACGGGAACGGAAACAGGGCCGAGACAAGGGAGGCAUGCCAACCAGCGACGGCCACCACCACCAAGUCCGCGACGCCUUUCUUUGCCCCCUUCCUACCACUUUCACCUCCCUCGUACCAACCAACCCGGCACCAACACCGCCACUGCGUCGACCGAACAGCAGCCCGAUGCGUCCACACCAACGGCCUCCAUUUGGCGCCGGCCUGUAGUCCCCCACUCGGCCAACGACAGAUGAGGCCAGGCAAGGGACCCACCGGAGCCACUCAGCCGAACGGGUGGAUGGACGGACGGACACGCUUGCCUUCCACUGCUCCGUGUGUUUUACUACUCCGGAACAGCUACUGCGGGUCGCAAGUAAUAACUAAAUCCAAAGGGUUGGGUUGGGUUGUCGUUGCUGCAUCACAAGGGGGAGGGGGCGAUCAUCAAAAGACAUCAGGAGUUACUUCAUUGGCUGGCUGGCUGGCUGGGACCGAGCGAGGGCAGGACAAAGCUCCCCGUCCGAUACCUCACCUCAUGCCUCAAAUCGGCUUAACGCAACCUGCAGGCACCAAGGCCAACAACGACCCAAAGGAAUCCACCGAGGGAGUUAAGGUCAAGUAG
rnacentral:rRNA from 1 species